UCCGUAAAGGUGGAUGAGUGGUGUUUGGUUUGUUACGUGUGGUUGGCUGCGGCGUUUGCAACAACUUCCAUGCUCUCAGACCUCUUCAGUUGUGCGGCAAGGCUUGUAUCGCCUUGAGCGUAUCGUGGGUUUUCUGUGUUGGCUACCUAAUCGACGGUAUCGUUUGGAUUGAUCAAAGUGUGAUUUCGUCUUCCGUCGCGUUUGCGGCGUGAGGUGAACCUUGACGCGGUCUCUUUGAUCCAUCUCGUCGAAGCAUAUGCUUUGACGUUGUGGCACAUUGGGCAUUGCUUGGUCUCUUGUGUACGGAACACGUAGCGGGCAUGGAUCUAACGAUUCUUGUUUGCCCUCAUAUUAGCGUAACGCUUCUCAAACACGACUUGCAUCGCGUUUUAGCUCGUACGGACGUGGUGCUAUGUCGCAGAGGAAUGCUACCUGGUUGAUCCUGCCAGUAGUCAUAUGCUUGUCUCAAAGAUUAAGCCAUGC
rnacentral:misc_RNA from 1 species